GCGUUGUCCGGAUUUAUUGGGUUUAAAGGGUGCGUAGGCGGGUUUAUAAGUCAGUGGUGAAAGUUUGCAGCUUAACUGUAAAAUUGCCAUUGAUACUGUAGGCCUUGAGUGCCGUCGAGGUGGUUGGAAUGCGUAGUGUAGCGGUGAAAUGCUUAGAUAUUACGCAGAACACCGAUAGCGAAGGCAGAUCGCCAGACUGUAACUGACGCUGAGGCACGAAAGUGUG
rnacentral:rRNA from 1 species